UGGUGGAUAAAACCCAGCGAGUCCGCGCGUCGGAUAUCUUCGCCGCCAGCUGCGUUGCGUCCCCAUGGCUCUCCCCCUCGGCCGCCUCCUCCCCACGCUCCCCGCCUGCCACUGCCGGUCACCACCCCGCUUCCCUAAGCACCACGCUGCAGCGCGCCGCGGCUGCGUCUCCUUUGUUGUCCCCACCACCGCCUACUCCCGGGGUAGCCGCGCCGCCUGCGCCGCUAGCGCCUCGGUGGCCCCGGCCCCCGCGGCGGAGGCGGAGGAGCCAGCGGGGCCGAGGACGCGGCUCGUCGCACAGAACAUCCCGUGGGACUGCACGGCCAACGACAUGCGCGCGCUCUUCGAGAAGCACGGCUCCGUCAUCGACGUUGAGCUUUCAAUGUACAAUUCCAGUAAAAACAGGGGAUUGGCAUUUGUGACCAUGGGUUCAGAAGAGGAGGCUCUUGCAGCUCUCAACAAUCUUAAUUCGACUAUUUUAAAUGACAGAAAAAUCAAGGUGGACUUUGCAAGACCUAGAAAGAAGCAACCUAAGCAACCUGUUAUGGCAUUGGAUUCCAAUUCACCAAAGUAUAUUGUGUUUGUCGGAAAUUUGACAUGGAGAGUUAGAUCUCGUCACCUUCGAGAAUUAUUUGAAUCGACCCCAGGUUUCAUAUCAGCUGAAGUUGUCUUUCAAACCACCACUCCAAGGCGAUCUGCUGGUUAUGCAUUUGUUUCUUUUUCAUCGAAAGAGGCCGCAGAGGCCGCCAUAUCUACUUUCAACGGGAAGAAAUUGACGGGACGACCCAUUAAUGUGAUGUUCAAAGAUGACGAUGUUAAAAAGAAUAAAUCUUCUAUUCCAAAGGAAGAGGAUCUAGACGUGGGAUCAUCUGAGAAGAGUGGUAGUUAAGCAUGAACUCUUCUGAAAACCACGAAGAGAAGUUAAAUUAAUAGAUCUGUGGCAACUGGAUACAUAUAUAACUGACCAAUGGGAUGCCAUAUUGCUGCUCCGUUUUUCUCGUUCAGGAACUCAUGAAUUUUUAAAUACGAUGCUCUGUAAAUUCUCCGCUUGAUAUCUGUAACAUUUGGGGUUCAUCGAUGCUGGGAGUACAAAUAUAUCACAUCUGUGGUUUUUGUCAACUGUCCGUGAUAAUUAAUUGUAGACGAGAAAUAUGGAUGAAGGAGCUCUCACGCAACCUGCUGACGAACUUGACCAUAGUUUUUGUUUGUCAUGAAAUAUCUUAUUUGGAUCCAAUGUAUUGUGUUGGUGGUACAUAUACUGGCUAGAAAUAUUCCUCAAGUCCUGCCUGCCAGUGCCAGGUUAAGAUGACUUCCACACUUCCAAAUUGUUCACUGUGUUUAUCCU